CAUUGAUGAAAUAAAUGAAAUGGAACACCUUGGAAAAUGUGAUCACAGAGGGUGAUAAUCCCGUACAUGUAAGUUUAUGAAUCAUAGCAGACUCCUGAGUAAGUCGGGACACGUGUAAUCCUGACCGAAUCCGCCGGGACCAUCCGGCAAGGCUAAAUACUCCUGAGAGACCGAUAGUGAACCAGUACCGUGAGGGAAAGGUGAAAAGCACUUCGAACAGAAGAGUGAAAUAGUCCCUGAACCCAUACGCCUACAAGCAGUCGGAGCCGCUUCGUGCGGUGACGGCGUGCCUUUUGCAUAAUGAGCCUACGAGUUACUCAUCACCAGCGAGGUUAAGUACUUCAGGUACGUAAGCCGAAGCGAAAGCGAGUCUGAAUAGGGCGUCAAGUUGGUGGUGGUAGACGCGAAACCUAGUGAUCUACCCAUGGGCAGGGUGAAGGUUUGGUAACACAAACUGGAGGCCCGAACCGGUAAACGUUGAAAAGUUUUCGGAUGACCUGUGGGUAGGGGUGAAAGGCCAAUCAAACUGGGAAAUAGCUCGUACUCUCCGAAAUGCAUUUAGGUGCAGCCUCUGUUGUUUUGUUCUAGAGGUAGAGCUACUGAUUGGAUGCGAGGGCUUCACCGCCUAUCAAAUCCGGCCAAACUCCGAAUGCUAGAACAUGAAGACAGGGAGUGAGCCAGCGGGUGCUAAGGUCCGUUGACGAAAGAGGGAGAACUCAGACCAUCAGCUAAGGUCCCCAAUUAUAUGCUAAGUUGGAAUAAAAACGGGGUGGGACUGCUUAGACAGCUAGGAUGUUGGCUUGGAAGCAGCCAUUCAUUUAAAGAGUGCGUAACAGCUCACUAGUCGAGCGGUCCUGCAUGGAUAAUACGCGGGCAUAAGCAUAUAACCGAAGCUAUGGGAUUGUAGAUGAUACAAUCGGUAGGAGAGCAUUCCAUUCAGCAUAGAAGCAGUAUCGUGAGGUAUUGUGGAGCGGAUGGAAAAGCAAAUGUAGGCAUAAGUAACGAUAAUGCGGGUGAGAACCCCGCACGCCGAAAGAUCAAGGAUUCCCCGGCAAUGUCAAUCAUCCGGGGGUAAGUCGGAUCCUAAGGGUAAGCCGAGUGGCGAUCCCGAUGGCAAACAGGUUAAUAUUCCUGUACUGAUCAUAACUGCGAUGCAGCGACGCAGAGGUGACACUGCUGCGUACUGACGGAAUAGUACGUUGAAACCCGUAUUCUUUGAUACCGGUAGUGAAGCACGCCGGUAGAGAUGAAAGGUGAUAGUACCGCAAUGCUUCGGUUGCGCGGAUAAUGCAGGUAAGCUGACUGCCAAGAAAACCUGCUAAGCUUCAGGUAAUGAUCAUCCGUACUGUAAACGGACACACGUGAUCAGGUAGAAAAUACUAAGGCGCUCGAGAGAUUCAUGGUUAAGGAACUAGGCAAAAUGGUCCUGUAACUUCGGGAUAAAGGACGCUCUUGUGAAAGAGCCGCAGAUAAUAGGCCCAGGCGACUGUUUACCAAAAACACAUGGCUAUGCUAAUUCGCAAGAAGAUGUAUAUGGCCUGACACCUGCCCGGUGCCGGAAGGUUAAGAGGAGAGCUCAGAGGUAACUCGAAGGUUUGAAUUGAAGCCCCGGUAAACGGCGGCCGUAACUAUAACGGUCCUAAGGUAGCGAAAUUCCUUGUCGGGUAAGUUCCGACCUGCACGAAUGGUGUAACGAUCUGGGUACUGUCUCAACCAUGAGCUCGGUGAAAUUGUAGUUCCGGUGAAGAUGCCGGAUACCCGCAACGGGACGGAAAGACCCCGUGAACCUUUACUGCAGCUUUGCAUUGAUUUUGGGUAACAGAUGUGUAGGAUAGGUCGGAGGCUUUGAUGCUGCGUAC
rnacentral:rRNA from 1 species